GAAGUGUGAUAAGUAAUGUGAAUUGCAGAAUUCAGUGAAUCAUCGAGUCUUUGAACGCACAUUGCGCCCCCUGGCAUUCCGGGGGGCAUGCCUGUCCGAGCGUCAUUGCUGCCCUUCAAGCCCGGCUUGUGUGUUGGGUCGUCGUCCCCUCCGGGGGAUGGGCCCGAAAGGCAGCGGCGGCACCGCGUCCGGUCCUCGAGCGUAUGGGGCUUUGUCACCCGCUCGAUAAGGACCGGCCGGGCGCCAGCCGGCGUCUCCAACCUUUUUUUCUCAGGUUGACCUCGGAUCAGGUAGGGAUACCCGCUGAACUUAAGC
rnacentral:misc_RNA from 1 species